rnacentral:misc_RNA from 1 species
AACGCACAUUGCGCCCUUUGGUAUUCCGAAGGGCACACCUGUUCGAGAGCCAUUUCAAAUCUAAGGCCUAGCCUUGUGUUGGUGGAUCCCUUUUGCGAGGGACUGCCUAAACUUUCGUAAGGCGCCGUCCACGGUUAGCGAAGCAGCGAAAUGCGGAGCUCCUGUUGAACGGCUGCCGGUUCCGACGAGUUUGGCCUCGGAUCAGGUGGGGAUACCCGCUGAACUUAA